rnacentral:rRNA from 1 species
GAUUAAACUGAAGAGUUUGAUCCUGGCUCAGAUUGAACGCUGGCGGUAUGCUUAACACAUGCAAGUCGAACGGAAACGAUGGAAGCUUGCUUCCAGGCGUCGAGUGGCGGACGGGUGCGUAACGCGUAGGAAUUUACCUUAUAGUCGGGGACAACUUGGGGAAACUCAAGCUAAUACCGGA